rnacentral:rRNA from 1 species
UUGACCUCAAAUCAGGUAGGACUACCCGCUGAACUUAAGCAUAUCAAUAAGCGGAGGAAAAGAAACUAACAAGGAUUCCCCUAGUAACUGCGAGUGAACCGGGAAAAGCUCAAAUUUUGAAUCUGGCGGUCUUCAGGCCGUCCGAGUUGUAAUCUAGAGAAGCGUCUUCCGCGCUGGACCGUGUAUAAGUUUCCUGGAAUGGAACGUCGUAGAGGGUGAGAAUCCCGUCUUUGACACGGACUGCCAGGGCUAUGUGAUGCGCUCUCGACGAGUCGAGUUGUUUGGGAAUGCAGCUCAAAUAGGGUGGUAAAUUCCAUCUAAAGCUAAAUACAGGCGAGAGACCGAUAGCGAACAAGUACCGUGAGGGAAAGAUGAAAAGAACUUUGGAAAGAGAGUUAAACAGUACGUGAAAUUGCUGAAAGGGAAACGCUUGAUGUCAGUCGCGUCGGCCGGGGAUCAGCCUUGCUCUUUUGCUCGGUGUAUUUCCUGGCAGACGGGUCAGCAUCGGUUUUGACCGUCGGAAAAUGGCUGGAGGAAUGUGGCACUCCUCGG